rnacentral:rRNA from 1 species
UACGUAGGCAGCAAGCGUUGUUCGGAGUUACUGGGCGUAAAGGGUGUGUAGGCGGUUGUUUAAGUUUGGUGUGAAAUCUCCCGGCUCAACCGGGAGGGUGCGCCGAAUACUGAAUAACUAGAGUGCAGAAGGGGCAACUGGAAUUCUCGGUGUAGCGGUGAAAUGCGUAGAUAUCGAGAGGAACACCUGCGGCGAAGGCGGGUUGCUGGGCUGACACUGACGCUGAGGCGCGAAAGCCAGGGGAGCGAACGGG